rnacentral:rRNA from 1 species
ACUCCUACGGGAGGCAGCAGUGGGGAAUAUUGGACAAUGGGCGGAAGCCUGAUCCAGCCAUGCCGCGUGUGUGAAGAAGGCCUUUUGGUUGUAAAGCACUUUAAGCGAGGAGGAGGCUACUAGUAUUAAUACUACUGGAUAGUGGACGUUACUCGCAGAAUAAGCACCGGCUAACUCUGUGCCAGCAGCCGCGGUAAU